rnacentral:lncRNA from 1 species
UGUACGGGCAUAAUAAUGAUUGUAUGGCUAAUCUAGUGGAUUGGAAGGUUCACAAGAGGAAGAAUUUGUGUUGGAGGAACCAAACAUUUGCAACCAAAAGACUUGACUUAUAGGGUGAAAGUGUUGUAGUGUCUCAAUGAUCUGAAGGUUUUAGGCUGAAAGUUGAGAGAACUGACUUGUAGAUUCAGGUGUUGUAAUUGAGGGUUGCAUUAGACCCGGUUAGUCCUACGAAUCCGACCUGACCCAUAAGCAACGGGUUGGGUCUGACCCGGUCCAAAAUAAAACAAGAACAAAAAAAAAAAGACAAGACAGAGACAAGAUAAAAGAAGUACCAGGUGCGGGUUACCCAUCGCGUCCCAAUUGCACUAACUUUACUUAGGGUUUGAAAAAAUUAGGGUUAAUUUUUUUUUUCUCUUCCCUGCAUCAUUUCUUCUCCUGCAACUACGUAUUCACUUAUGAACGUUGUAGAACCUUAGAAUUCGAAGAAGGUGAGCAUGUUUUCCUACGUGUUACACCCACUACUAUGAUUGGUAGAGUCGUCAACUCAAAAAAGC